CCUCCCUUUGUCUCCUGGCCCCGCCCACAUCUCCACUUGCCCUCUUUCCUUCAUCUCCCAGCGUUUUUUUGGGUGUUUGUUUGUUUGUUUGUUUGUUUUGCCUCCGUUGGCCUUGCUCUCUUCAUCCCAGGGGGUGCUCUGAUCUAGCCACUGCACAAGCUUCAUGAUAGAGUGAGCCCACCCUUGCCUUAAGGAGGGAUAGGCCUAGAUGAUCAGAAGUGAACCUCAACAGGACCAGAGAAGCAGCUGCACCCCAUGAAACGACAACUCCAAUCUCACCAGCCUGGCCAUGCCACUACAAAUUAAAUGAUGUCCAAAUAUGUGGGGCAGACUCUGAGGCACAGACGGUGGUAAGAGGCCAGAGGUGAGAUUACCAGGUGUACUGGGUGGUUUUGUGUGUCAACUUCACACAGCUGGAGUUAUCACAGUUUCAGUUGAGAAAAUGCCUCCAUGAGAUCCAGCUGUAAG
rnacentral:lncRNA from 1 species